rnacentral:rRNA from 1 species
UACGUAGGUGGCGAGCGUUGUCCGGAUUUAUUGGGCGUAAAGCGCGCGCAGGUGGUGCGGUAAGUCUGUCGUGAAAUCUCCUGGCUCAACUGGGAGGGUGCGGUGGAGACUGCCGGACUGGAGGCACUCAGAGGCCGGUGGAAUUCCUGGUGUAGCGGUGAAAUGCGCAGAUAUCAGGAGGAACACCGGUGGCGAAGGCGGUUCUCUGGGCCUGUUCUGACGCUGAGGAGCGAAAGCGUGGGGAGCGAACAGG